GUUGGGUUUGUAUAUUUGGUAAUCUAAAGUAAUAAACUGCAGUACGCACGAUUUUGUACAUUUUGAUAAUUUGGGCUUAAUGGGCCAAAGAUCGGGUUCAUGGGCCAACGGGCCCAAUUCGGUAAGUAUGCGCGGAAAUCCCCAACCAUAGUGGGCUUGGAGCUGUGAGGGAAUUUGGAGUGGCCACCCGUUCUGAAAGUUUGAUUUUCUUCUGGUGAACUGGACAUCCUUUUAUUUACUUUUGAAGUUUUGGGUUUUCAAAUGUAAUAAGGCCGCUUAAUUAUUUUUGAUGGUUUUAAUAUGUAUUACUAAGAUAGGUAUUACUUAUUUUAACUGUCGAAAUUGGAUAGCUUUAGGGCGCGUUUUCAAAAACAACAAUUGAUUUCAAAAUAACACGACAACAAGCAAAGCUUCCGCAAUAAAA